rnacentral:rRNA from 1 species
AUUGAGCGCUGGCGGCAUGCUUUACACAUGCAAGUCGAACGGUAACAGGCCGCAAGGUGCUGACGAGUGGCGAACGGGUGAGUAAUGCAUCGGAACGUGCCCAGUCGUGGGGGAUAACGCAGCGAAAGCUGCGCUAAUACCGCAUACGAUCUAUGGAUGAAAGCGGGGGACCGAAAGGCCUCGAGCGAUUGGAGCGGCCGAUGUCAGAUUAGGUAGUUGGUGGGGUAAAGGCCCACCAAGGCAACGAUCUGUAGCUGGUCUGAGAGGACGACCAGCCACACUGGGACUGAGACACGGCCCAGACUCCUACCGGAGGCACCAGUGGGGAAUUUUGGACAAUGGGCGCAAGCCUGAUCCAGCAAUGCCGCGUGCAGGAAGAAGGCCUUCGGGUUGUAAACUUCUUUUGUACGGAACGAAAAGGUCCGGGUUAAUACCCUGGGCUAAUGACGGUACCGUAAGAAUAAGCACCGGCUAACUACGUGCCAGCAGCCGCGGUAAGAC